rnacentral:rRNA from 1 species
GAUUAACGCUGGCGGCGUGCAUGAAACAUGCAAGUCGAGCGCGAUGCGAGCUUGCUCGCAUCUAGCGGCGCACGGGUGAGUAACACGUGAGCAACCUACCUCGGAGCCCGGGAUAGCCCUGAGAAAUCAGGAUUAAUACCGGAUGAUGUCGCCGUGGGGCAUCCCAUGGCGAAGAAAGGCUUCGGCCACUCCAAGACGGGCUCGCGGCCUAUAGCUUGUUGGUGGGGUAAUGGCCUACCAAGGCGAAGAUGGGUAGCUGGUCUGAGAGGACGAUCAGCCACACUGGGACUGAGACACGGCCCAGACUCC